AAUGAACGCUGGCGGCAUGCCUAACACAUGCAAGUCGAACGAAGGCUUCGGCCUUAGUGGCGCACGGGUGCGUAACGCGUGGGAAUCUGCCCUCAGGUUCGGAAUAACAGCGAGAAAUUGCUGCUAAUACCGGAUGAUAUCGCGAGAUCAAAGAUUUAUCGCCUGAGGAUGAGCCCGCGUGGGAUUAGCUAGUUGGUGUGGUAAAGGCGCACCAAGGCGACGAUCCUUAGCUGGUCUGAGAGGAUGAUCAGCCACACUGGGACUGAGACACGGCCCAGACUCCUACGGGAGGCAGCAGUGGGGAAUAUUGGACAAUGGGCGAAAGCCUGAUCCAGCAAUGCCGCGUGGGUGAUGAAGGCCUUAGGGUUGUAAAGCUCUUUUACCCGGGAUGAUAAUGACAGUACCGGGAGAAUAAGCUCCGGCUAACUCCGUGCCAGCAGCCGCAGUAA
rnacentral:rRNA from 1 species